GACGAACGCUGGCGGCGUGCCUAAUACAUGCAAGUAGAACGCACAGUUUAUACCGUAGCUUGCUACACCAUAGACUGUGAGUUGCGAACGGGUGAGUAACGCGUAGGUAACCUGCCUGGUAGCGGGGGAUAACUAUUGGAAACGAUAGCUAAUACCGCAUAAUAUUAAUUAUUGCAUGAUAAUUAAUUGAAAGGUGCAAUUGCACCACUACCAGAUGGACCUGCGUUGUAUUAGCUAGUAGGUGAGGUAACGGCUCACCUAGGCGACGAUACAUAGCCGACCUGAGAGGGUGAUCGGCCACACUGGGACGGAGACACGGCCCAGACUCCUACGGGAGGCAGCAGUAGGGAAUCUUCGGCAAUGGACGGAAGUCUGACCGAGCAACGCCGCGUGAGUGAAGAAGGUUUUCGGAUCGUAAAGCUCUGUUGUAAGAGAAGAACGGGUGUGAGAGUGGAAAGUUCACACUGUGACGGUAUCUUACCAGAAAGGGACGGCUAACUACGUG
rnacentral:rRNA from 1 species